AUGGGAGGACAUACCAUGACACGAGAGCCGGUCAAAUUGACAGACGACCUGAUUAUAGUAGACAAUCGUGGAUGGCAUGACUGGAACAACAAAGCUGCCUUGAAAGAGCUAUCUGCUCAAAUUCAUGGCAAAAGAUCACUUGACGAUGAUGUUAAAUGGGAUGAAGAUAGCAACUCAUCUACCGACGACGAAUCAGAGAUACCGCUGGCACUUACGGAUAAAGUAGACUGCACAACUCUCGUCUUAAACGGAGUUGGAGGAAUCGACGCAGUUGAAAACAUCGCUGAGCUCAUCGAGACAUGCCGCCAAAAUACCAAGCGGCCACCAUCUGUCGUGAUAACCCACAAAGAUGCGAUAUCGGAUGGAGAAGUCAAAAAAAUGAUCGUGUCCCUAGAAAACGAGAGAAUCGACCCGGAAAAAAUAUUCGUCGUUAAGAACGUCACAUCUAAGGAUGGAAGUCUCAACGAUGAGACAAGGUCAAGCAUCCGUAAUUUCAUUCGAAGCUGUCGGGAUGAUGGUCAAGCCGGUGCUUUAGCUCACAAAAGAAGGGAGAAUGUGGAGGAGAAACGGGAGAAGAAAAAAGUUCUUAGGUAUCAAAAGGAGAUUUUAAAGGGCCAACAUGAGCUUAAACAAGCGGAGAUAACUGAAGCUAAAGCGCGAUUAGAAAAUGAAACAGAAACUAAGAAGGAAAUGGAUAGUAUGAAAGAAGCGGCUUUGAAAAGAGAAAUAGAGAAUGCUGAAAGAUUGCAAGAUAUGUCAGAAGCAAACAUUAUAAAAAUGAACGAGCUAAAGCUAAAGAAUGAGAAAGAUUUUCAUGAGAAUAACAAAAAGGCCCUCAAUGAAUUUUAUGUAGGUUACUUAAACAAAUGUAAUCCUUAA